rnacentral:pre_miRNA from 1 species
UCUUAUGGAUGAGCAAAGAGAGUGGUUUUGUCAGAGGGGAGCUACUCCUGGUGAAGAUGCUGUGAA